UGCGGGAAGAUGAAAUCUGGGACAGGUCAUAUUCCUCAGGGCCCAGGCCCUGUUUCGUGGCAGUGUGGGACUGUUCUGGGUCUGUUGCUUCUGGGUCUGGCCCUGGGCACCCAGGGUCUGCUAUUCCCAAGAGCAGCACCCCAGAAUAGAGCCCCGGAUCUUAGUGCCCAGGCAAGAAGUAGCUGGUCCAGUCUGUGGAACUUGUGGGGCAGGCCCCCAGGGGCAGGCUCCAGGUGCUGGACCCAUGGAUUUUGGUCUGAACCACAGCCACCAGAGCAUGUUUUUGGCAGUGGAACCCAGCUAACUGUCCUAGGUCAGCCCAAGGCUUCCCCCUUGGUCACACUGUUUCCACCAUCCUCUGAGGAGCUAUGGGCCAACAAGGCCACCCUGGCCUGUCUGAUGAAUGACUUUUACCCGGGCACUGUGUUGGUGGCUUGGAAGGCAGAUGACAUCCUUGUCACCGAGGGUGUGGAGACCACCCAGCCCUCCAAACAAAGCAACAACAAGUACAUGGCCAGUAGCUACCUGACCCUGACACCUGACAGGUGGAGAUCUGGGAGCAGGUAUACUUGCCAUGUCACACAUGAAGGGAGCACUGUGGAGAGGAGUGUGUCCCAUGUAGAGUGUUCCUAGGCUGAAGAAUCUCAAGCCCUUGAAGGGUUGAAGCUGAAGGAUUCAGCAUGGCAUCUCC